rnacentral:tRNA from 1 species
GCGCUGGUAGUCAAGCGGUUACGAUAUGGCCUUGCCAAGGCUGUGGCCCGGGUUCGAAUCCCGGCCAGCGCA